rnacentral:rRNA from 1 species
CCUACGGGCGGCAGCAGUGAGGAAUAUUGGUCAAUGGGCGCGAGCCUGAACCAGCCAAGUAGCGUGAAGGAUGACUGCCCUACGGGUUGUAAACUUCUUUUAUAAAGGAAUAAAGUGAGGCACGUGUGCCUUUUUGUAUGUACUUUAUGAAUAAGGAUCGGCUAACUCCGUGCCAGCAGCCGCGGUAAUACGGAGGAUCCGAGCGUUAUCCGGAUUUAUUGGGUUUAAAGGGAGCGUAGAUGGGUUUUUAAGUCAGUUGUGAAAGUUUGCGGCUCAACCGUAAAAUUGCAAUUGAUACUGGCGGCCUUGAGUACAGUUGAGGUAGGCGGAAUUCGUGGUGUAGCGGUGAAAUGCUUAGAUAUCACGAAGAACUCCGAUUGCGAAGGCAGCUUACUAGACUGCCACUGACGUUGAUGCUCGAAAGUGUGGGUAUCAAACAGGAUUAGAUACCCUAGUAGUC